rnacentral:rRNA from 1 species
UACGUAGGGUGCGAGCGUUAAUCGGAAUUACUGGGCGUAAAGCGUGCGCAGGCGGUUUGUUAAGCCAGAUGUGAAAGCCCCGGGCUCAACCUGGGAACUGCGUUUGGUACUGGCGAGCUAGAGUGUGUCAGAGGAUGGUGGAAUUCCCGGUGUAGCGGUGAAAUGCGUAGAGAUGUGGAGGAACACCGAUGGCGAAGGCAGCCCCCUGGGUCAAGACUGACGCUCAUGCACGAAAGCGUGGGGAGCAAACAGG